AGCUUUGCGCAGUGGCAGUAUCGUAGCCAAUGAGGUUUAUCCGAGGCGCGAUUAUUGCUAAUUGAAAAAAGAUGUUCAGCAUGAUUAACUGUAAGGGUAGUGCAGAUUAAAGCCACAAUGAGAGAUUUCACACCUAUCAAAAUAG